rnacentral:rRNA from 1 species
UUCGCAAUGCCCGAAAGGGUGACGAAGCGACGCCGCGUGGGUGAGGAAGGCCCUCGGGUUGUAAAGCCCUGUCAGGAGUUAAGAAAUGUAGGUGUGCUAAUAUCCCGCCUAUUUGACGAAGGCUCCAAAGGAAGUCACGGCUAACUCUGUGCCAGCAGCCGCGGUAAUACAGAGGUGGCAAGCGUUGUUCGGAAUUAUUGGGCGUAAAGAGCACGUAGGUGGGUUUGUAAGUCAGAUGUGAAAGCCUUCUGUUCAAAGGAAGAACGGCAUCUGAAACUGCAAGUCUUGAGUGUAGGAGGGGAGAGUGGAACUUCUGGUGGAGCGGUGAAAUGCGUAGAUAUCAGAAGGAACGCCGGCGGCGAAAGCGACUCUCUGGCCCGAAACUGACGCUGAGUGUGCGAAAGCUAGGGGAGCAAACGGGAUUAGAUACCCCGGUAGUCCUAACCGUAAACGAUGGGCACUAAGUAGAGGGGUUUU